rnacentral:rRNA from 1 species
AUUGAACGCUGGCGGCAUGCUUUACACAUGCAAGUCGAACGGUAACAGGCCGCAAGGUGCUGACGAGUGGCGAACGGGUGCGUAAUGCAUCGGAACGUGCCCAGUCGUGUGGGAUAACUACUCGAAAGAGUAGCUAAUACCUCAUACGAUCUAUGAAUUAAAGCGGGGGACCGUAAGGCCUCGCGCGAUUUAAGCGGCCGAUGUCAGAUUAGGUAGUUGGUGGGGUAAAGGCUCACCAAGCCAACGAUCUGUAGCUGGUCUGAGAGGACGACCAGCCACACUGGGACUGGGACACGGCCCAGACUCCUACGGGAGGCAGCAGUGGGGAAUUUUGGACAAUGGGCGCAAGCCUGAUCCAGCAAUGCCGCGUGCAGGAAGAAGGCCUUCGGGUUGUAAACUGCUUUUGUACGGAACGAAACGGCUCUGGUUAAUACCCGGGGAUAAUGACGGUACCGUAAGAAUAAGCACCGGCUAACUACGUG